rnacentral:rRNA from 1 species
UACAGAGGGUGCUAGCGUUGUUCGGAAUUAUUGGGCGUAAAGGGCGCGUAGGCGGCCCUGUGUGUCGGGUGUGAAAGCCCACCUCUUAAAGGUGGAAUUGCAUUCGAAACUACAGGGCUGGAGUGUCGGAGAGGAUGGCGGAAUUCCUGGUGUAGAGGUGAAAUUCGUAGAUAUCAGGAGGAACACCGGUGGCGAAGGCGGCCAUCUGGACGACAACUGACGCUGAGGCGCGAAAGCGUGGGGAGCGAACGAAGGGA